GCUGCGGGCGGAGAACCUGUCCCCCUGGGCCUCAGCUCUGCAGGGGGGAAGAAAUAAAAAUAGCCCGGGAGAGAGGCCAGCGGCUGGGCUGUGGACAGCAUGCAUGCCUUUCGCAUUACUCUCUUCGGAUUGCCCUGAGAGGUCCUGGGUGCCAGGCCCUCGGCUGGGCCCCAGGAGGCAAAGCCCAGCAAGCAGGGCCCUGCCUCCUGGGAGAGACAGAAGCUCGCUCCAGAACCGCAGAGAGAUUUGAGUGAGACCUCUCACCCACUCCCUCCUCCCAACGUGAAAGCUUCCAGAAGAGUCACGUUGGAGAAAACGCUUGGGUGGCCAUGACCCCUCCACCUGGCACAUCAGCAGCCCUUCUGGAGACAGAAAUCAUGGAGUUUGGUAUUCUCUCCUUAAUCCAACAUGGGAAAUAUACGGACCUCACUACAUGACAAUAGAGACACCCAGGAAACAUCUUAACAACUAAGGAGCGUGCACUCCUCAGGGGCUGGGCGCUAUUUACUCACUAAGAGGAACAGCAGCUACUUGGUGUCUUCUUCAUCUUUUCCCCAGGGAAUGGAGGAUGGGUCUGUGCUGUGGCCCAUUUCUCACCACUGGGAACACCGGGGACAAGCCAGGCUCCAUGGUGCUGGCCUUGACAAUGCGCUCUGUGACUUCACGAGUACAUUGCAUUCCAGAUGGGAAAAGCCCUGUGGAGCUGCGAGGCCCUGUGAAGGAAGAGGCCCUGUGGAGGAUAGAUGCCUUCUGAGGAGAGAGGUUCUUCCCCCUGUGGCGAAGCCCUGUGGAGAGGAGCCUAGUAAGGAGAGAGGCCCUGUGGAGGAGAGAGGCUCUGUGCAAAAGAGAGGUUCUGUGGUGAGAAGGAGCUCAGAGGAGGGGAGAGGCCCCGUGGAAGGGAGAGAAUCUGUGAGGGGAGAGGGCCUGUGUGAAGACGGGCCCUGUAGAGGAGAGAGGUGCUAUGGAGAAAGAAGGAGUUCUUUGGAUGGGAGGAUUCCUGUUGAGAGAAGUUCCCCAGAGGGAAGACUUUCUGAGGAAAAAGCCAUCAUGGACAGGAGACACCCCAUCGUGUGCACAAAACAGUGUUGAGCAGCUGGACAUGGAGCCCUCUCUGUAGAUCUACCACUUCCUGGCUGUACAACCUUGGCCAAGGUCGUGCCUCCUACCAAAACCAAGGAGCACAGGCACACUAGGGCCCUGAGCACUGGGUGCUGUAACUCCUUAUAAUGUGCGGUGGCUUGUCUGGCAUGUGUCUUGAGACCCCUUUGGCUGGUGAAGCAGACAGCAGCAAAGUCAUUCUUUAAGGAUAGGAGAUAUAAAAGCUGCUCUACAAAGAAGGAAUGACGCUGAAAAGAGAAGAGUCACUUUAGCAUUAUUCCCAAAUAGCGAUUCUGAGCAUAAGUACAGGAAAGAAAUACCCCCAGCCCAGUCUGGGAGUGAGGGGAGAUGGCCACUGAGUACACACAAAAUGGCUGCCUCGUGGGAACCAGCGGGCGCUUCAAUAGUCCCUUCCUGGGGCAAGGCUGCAGUGGCCUAACCACCUUCUUCAGACCUCCUCACGGUUCUGUCAUUUCCACAUCACUACACUAGAACCCAGGAUGGAAUUUCAGCAUGUGAACCACCAGAGUUAGCCAUAUUCGAACCACACUAGUGGUCUGGCAUGGGUAGAGCGCCUGUUCAAGGCUAGAAACCUUGAGGGUCCAUGAGGCUAUGGAAGCCUUUGUGCGUUGGUGGAAAAGGUGCCUCUGGUCACCUUGACUAAAGGCUUACUCUGGGCAGGCCUCAUGCCAGACAGUCGCCUGGGUUGGGUGGGUUAGGAGCAUCAAGUCUCCUUACCUCAGGUCACUUCUUCUUGGUAGAGACUACUUCCUGAAUUGUCAUAGGACUGAAAUAAUUAUGGUGUGUAAACAUAAAUAU